rnacentral:misc_RNA from 1 species
UCGAAAAGAAAAGACUGUCGCUGGCCCCUACUAGGGGCAUGUGCACGUCGAGCCUUUUAUCACACCUGUGCACCUGUUGUAGAUUUCUAUCUACGUAUUUCACAAUCCACAUGUAUAGAAGGAAUGAAUGAAUGUGAUAAAGUUAUA